rnacentral:rRNA from 1 species
UACGAGAGGCCCAAACGUUAUUCGGAAUUACUGGGCUUAAAGAGUUCGUAGGCGGCAUGAAAAGUAGGGUGUGAAAGCCCUCGGCUUAACCGAGGAAUUGCGCUCUAAACUGUCGUGCUCGAGGAACCUAGAGGUGAGCAGAACAGAUGGUGGAGCGGUGAAAUGCGUUGAUAUCAGAAGGAACGCCGGUGGCGAAAGCGGCGGACUGGAUCUCUUCUGACGCUGAGGCGCGAAAGCUAGGGGAGCAAACGGG